rnacentral:siRNA from 1 species
CGAUCGCACUUCUACGUUCGCGA